CGUCUAUAUACGUAUAGCAUAUCAAUAAGCGGAGGAAAAGAAACUAACUAGGAUUCCCUUAGUAACGGCGAGUGAAGCGGGAAGAGCUCAAAUUUGAAAUCUUCAAGGUUCUACCUUGACGAAUUGUAGUUUAUAGAAGUGUUUUCUGUAGUGGAGUUUGGUAAAAGUUCCUUGGAAUAGGACAUCAUAGAGGGUGAGAAUCCCGUAUUUGAUCAUUAUUCCUAGCGUUGUGAUACACUUUCAAAGAGUCGGAUUGUUUGGGAAUGCAGUCCAAAAUGGGUGGUAAAUUUCAUCUAAAGCUAAAUAUUGGCGAGAGACCGAUAGCGAACAAGUACCGUGAGGGAAGGAUGAAAAGAACUUUGAAAAGAGAGUUAAACAGUACGUGAAAUUGUCAGAAGGGAAGCGUUUGACACCAGAGUUGUUUUUCCGAAAAUCAAUUACGAAUGUUUUGUUUUUAAGAAGUUAUGACUUCAUCGGCUUGCUUCUCUCUUUACGAAACUUUCUUAAUGCACUUUUCGGUUAACAAGUCAACAUCAAUUUCUUUUGUUGUAAAAGGGUAUGAGGAAGGUGGCUUUCUUUUCGGAGAAAGUGUUUAUAGCCUUGUACCUCUGCAAUCGGAGAGAUUGAGGUCUGCAGCGUAGAUCCUUCGGGGUUAGAUACAUUUGUGCUAAGUUAUAGCUUUUCAUAGACAACUUGUUGACUAUGUUAAGUCUUGUAGCUUACUCGCUUAUGCUAUUUUACCUACGCUUAGGAUGUUGACACACGCGCGUGCUCG
rnacentral:rRNA from 1 species